rfam:Triticum aestivum genome assembly, contig: Triticum_aestivum_CS42_TGACv1_scaffold_062483_1DL
GACUUACUCCCUCCGUCUGAAAAUACUUGUCAUCAAAAUGGAUAAAAAGAGAUGUAUCUACGGCUAAUAUAUGUCUAGAUACAUCCCCUUUUAUUCAUUUUGAUGACAAAUAUUUCCGGACGGAGGGAGUACUUG